CAAUAGGAAUCUGCAAAUUAGCCUGGAAUUUAAGCAGCAUUUAGUUUCAGCGGGCAGAAGAGUGAAUUGCGAUUCAUGUUUAUGAAACUGAGCGGGUUUCCUCUCAUACCUCUGUUUGUUUCCACAACUGUAGACUCUGUGCGGACUGUAACUCGGCGAAAACAAAAAAAAAGCUUGGUUUGAAGAGUCAAGAAAGGAACUGGUAACUUCAUUUAUCGAGAUAAAGAAGGUAUUUAAACCUACCUGACUGUGUAUAAACAAAAUGCGCAAUAGCUGGCUUUGCUAGCUGUUAGCAGCAACAGCUACCAUCAAAUAAACUCGAUAACCAGCAACGGC